GGGCAGCUGGCAGUGGCGGCGCGGUGCAUGCUGGGCGUUGUUGUUCCCCACCGCUCUGCGGCUGCUUGCUGCCGGCUUGGGAAGACUCCAUUCCCCAGGAUGCUCCGAGCCGACGGAGGUCACGUGUCCGCGGCUGGGGCAAGGGCCGGGCAUAAGAGCGGGCGGCCAUUUUGUGAGAGAAGCAGUCGCUGCUGCCUCCGCGUCUGCGCCGCGCUCGCCGCCCCGGCUCCCUGCCGUCGCUCCGGACUUGCGGUUUGUUUUUUUCUCUCCUCCCUGCAGAUCCAGUGAGACGUGACCCGGGCGCACCCAGCCGCGGCCUUCUCCCCUGCUCAGCGCCCCGCCACUGAAUCGCAUGUCCACUAUCCAGAACCUCCAAUCCUUCGACCCCUUUGCUGAUGCAACUAAGGGUGACGACUUACUCCCGGCAGGGACUGAGGAUUACAUUCAUAUAAGGAUCCAGCAACGAAACGGCAGGAAGACGUUAACUACUGUUCAGGGAAUUGCAGAUGAUUAUGACAAAAAAAAACUUGUGAAAGCUUUCAAAAAGAAAUUUGCUUGUAAUGGUACUGUGAUUGAGCAUCCUGAGUACGGUGAAGUUAUCCAGCUUCAAGGUGACCAGAGAAAGAACAUUUGCCAAUUCCUCUUAGAGUUUUUGAACCUUUAAUACAGCUCUUAAUACACUGACCUGAAAGGACAAAACCAGAUGCUUGCAGUACAUAAGAACGGCCAUACUGGGUCUGACCAAAGGUCCAUCUAGCCCAGUAUCCUGUCUUCCGACAGUGGCCAAUGCCAGGUGCCCCAGAAGGAAUGAACAAAACAGGUUGGCAUCGUCAAGGAGGAACAGCUGAAAGUUCAUGGUUUCUAAAAUGUGUAUAAUCACAUGAAGAAUUCUGCAGUUUUUGUUCAUACUCACACUGGCUAAACUGUGAAAUAUGAGUCUUUUCAGUAAAUGGACUUCCCACUUACCUAAGCAUUUAAAGUUUUAUUCACAUUUGCAUGAUUACAGAAAACAUGUGGUGUGUAGACUAGAAACACACAAAAAAAUUGCAGUAAGAUGGUAAUGAAGACCUUUGUGAAUUUUUAACACAUUUCCAAUGGAAAUGUUUUAGUGCUGAUUGUUGAGUUUAUUACUUUUCACCUGACUUAAAUGUUUUUUGUUGUAUUAAAACCAUGUAUGUUGCAGCUUAAAAA